UUAAAAUAGAGUAAAAGACUGAGGAUGACCCUCUUUAAGCUUUAUUAACUAGUUAUCUUGGGUUUCGAUCGUGGUUUUAGAAUUCUACAAGUAAGGGUGAAAUCUGUUGAUAAUUGGAAGACUUUCAAUAGCGAAGGCAUGAACCAACUCGAAUCCGACGCUAGGUACUAAAGUAUGGGGAGCAAAGAGGAUUAGAGACCCUCGUAGUCCAUACCGUAAACAAUGAGUGUUCAACAUUUUUGACCUCCAAGAUUAGAGAUUUGUCUAAUUUUUUGCUGUGUGGGGCCUUUAGUGGUUUAAAGCUAACGCGUGAAACACCGCCUGGGGAAUGUGGCCGCAAGGUUAAACUCAAAGGAAUUGACGGAGACUUAUACAAGG
rnacentral:rRNA from 1 species